AAAAAAGAAAAAAGGAGAAAAGGAAAAAGAGCUGCAUACCUGGCAGGCCUACUGUGUGCAAAGCCCUUGAGUGACACACCCUAUGACCCACAGCACUGUGGCAAUCCCAGGGCCGCACCAGCUCUCUCUCCUUCCCCUCCUCAGGGCCACACCAACUGUGGGGUUCCAGCUAUCACUCUGUGCAAAGGACUCCUAACAUGGGUGUCCUCCGUCUCACCCCAUAAGCCACACUGGCCAAGGCCAGGCAGGCACCACACAUCGCGAGACACAUGCUUGGUCACUGGGCUGUGGAACAUACAGGAGCCCCGUGCUCCGGAACACGGACCACCCGACAGGAGCACGGACACAGCAGUCGGGGCGACGUGGGUGCCUCACAGAAGAGGGAAAAAGCCAGGAGGGCGGCACGUGGGCGCAAAGUUCUCAGCUUCGUUAGUCAUCAAGAAAAUGCAAACUAAAACCAAGGUAAGUGUGAGGGUUACUACUGAGUUUCAACUUGACUGGACUAAAGGAUGUGUAACUGUUCCUGGGAGCAUCUUGAGGAAGCUGCCAAAGGAGAUUCACAU
rnacentral:lncRNA from 1 species